GGGCCCAUAGCUCAGCGGUCAGAGCAGGCGGCUCAUAACCGCUUGGUCGCAGGUUCGAAUCCUGCUGGGCCCA
rnacentral:tRNA from 1 species